GACGAACGCUGGCGGCGUGCUUAACACAUGCAAGUCGAACGGAAAGGCCCUGCUUUUGUGGGGUGCUCGAGUGGCGAACGGGGGAGUAACACGUGAGUAACCUGCCCCUGAAUUUGGGAUAACUUCAGGAAAAUGGGGCUAAUACCGGGUAGGAGCUCCUGCUGCAUGGUGGGGGGUGGAAAGUUUCGGCGGUUGGGGAUGGACUCGCGGCUUAUCAGCUUGUUGGUGGGGUAGUGGCUUACCAAGGCUUUGACGGGUAGCCGGCCUGAGAGGGUGACCGGCCACAUUGGGACUGAGAUACGGCCCAGACUCCUACGGGAGGCAGCAGUGGGGAAUAUUGCACAAUGGGCGGAAGCCUGAUGCAGCAACGCCGCGUGCGGGAUGACGGCCUUCGGGUUGUAAACCGCUUUCGCCUGUGACGAAGCGUGAGUGACGGUAAUGGGUAAAGAAGCACCGGCUAACUACGUG
rnacentral:rRNA from 1 species